rnacentral:lncRNA from 1 species
UCGGCAUGAAUAGGUUUGGAAGAGGAGGAUCAUAUUUGAAUGGGAUGCAUUUGAUGUCAGAGGAAGAGAUGUCUCGUAUUCACUGUUGACGAGGAGUGGGUUGGUGGUGUGGCAGCUCAGGAGUACAUUUUCAUUUUCACUCAGGGCACAUUAUAAUUUAGUUAUAACAUUGAUUUCAUGUAUCAUGUAAAUUGUAAUUAUGGAUCUUAAUUUAGUUAUAACAUCGAUUUCAC